CUUUAUGGGUUUAGACCUUAAAGGCAUCAGAACUCACCUGAUCUUGGAAGUUAAACAAAGUCAGCCUUGUUUGGUACUUGGAUGGGAAGCCACAAAUCAAUACUUGGUGCCAUAGGCU
rnacentral:rRNA from 11 species